GUCUGUGUUGUGCUUUGCUGUCAUUUCGUAUCCGUCUUCCAUUUUCUCAAUCCCAGUUAGUGAGGGCGACGAGGGAGGCGAAGAGGUUGGCAAAUCGGCGGACCCGUCCGUACCUCGGGGGGAGGUGACUUGGCCAGCGAUGGAGCAGAUGUCACCCGUAUCAAGGAGGAGAUGGAGACGGCGGCGUGUAUCCACAGAGGGGCGGAGACAGCGGCGGAUCGGCGACCUUGUCCCGCAUCGAUCAGGAUCGGGUUGAGAUCAAGGUGCCAAAGCAUCUCUCUAAAAUCUGCUUGCUAUGGCUCAUGAGGAAUUAUUAGUCUUCACUGGCAAGUAGAUGUGUUCAUGCUUGAACAAGUUUGAGUUUUCUGUUUUCCUGAAAGCAUCCUAAGUGGCAUUAUUCCGUAUACAUUUUUUAUCAUCCUUUUCAGUACUCCUUAUGCUAACUUGGAAAAGUUUUAUCACGCGUUAAUAUAAAUUGCAGGUGGUUUAAUUUUAGUGCUAAAUGUAUGCAACUACCAUAUUAUGUAAGAUUUUUUUUAUCCCCUUAUGCUAGUUGCUUUUAAACCUUGCAUUCCCAUUAUGUCCUCUUCUUGUUGUUUCUCAAACAGAAAAGGAAGCUUAGAUCUGCCUGUUCACAAGAUUGAGCUUUGUGAAGGUUCACCAAAUUAAGCUUUUGUAUCAUUAAAAUUUGAUUUUGAACGGUCCACAAAAUAACACUUUGCAAUCUUUUACUUUGUCAUUUGAAGGGUUCAUCAAUUUGUUUUUUAUUUCUAUUUAUCUUACUAGGAAAUUGAUUCUGGUAGUUGUGGUUAGGGACAUGAUUGUAUAUCUCUCUACUUACAAUGAAUAGAUGUCAUCGGAACAGAACAA